GACAGAGGGGGCAAGCGUUGCUCGGAAUUACUGGGCGUAAAGGGCGCGUAGGCGGGAUGGCAAGUCGGUCGUGAAAUCCUUCGGCUCAACCGAAGAACGUCGAUCGAUACUGCUGUUCUUGAGGGUUGCAGAGGAGACUGGAAUUCCCGGUGUAGCGGUGAAAUGUGUAGAGAUCGGGGAGGAACACCGGUGGCGAAGGCGGGUCUCUGGGCAAUUCCUGACGCUGAGGCGCGAAAGCGUGGGGAGCAAACGGG
rnacentral:rRNA from 1 species